rnacentral:rRNA from 1 species
CUACGGGGUGCAGCAGUGAGGAAUAUUGCACAAUGGGGGGAACCCUGAUGCAGCAACGCCGCGUGGAGGAUGACGCAUUUCGGUGUGUAAACUCCUUUUAUAUGUCAAGAAAAUGACGGUAGCAUAUGAAUAAGCACCGGCUAACUCCGUGCCAGCAGCCGCGGUAAUGCGGAGGGUGCAAGCGUUACUCGGAAUCACUGGGCGUAAAGGACGCGUAGGCGGGUUGGAAAGUCAGGUGUGAAAUCCUACAGCUUAACUGUAGAACUGCACUUGAAACUUCUAAUCUAGAGAAUGGGAGGGGGAGAUGGAAUUAGUGGUGUAGGGGUAAAAUCCGUAGAUAUCACUAGGAAUACCUAAAGCGAAGGCGAUCUCCUGGAACAUUACUGACGCUAAGGCGUGAAAGCGUGGGGAGCAAACAGGAUUAGAUACCCUCGUAGUC